UGGGGAAUUUUACGCAAUGGGGGAAACCCUGACGUAGCGACACCGCGUGAACGAAGAAGCCCUUUGGGGUGUAAAGUUCUGUCAGCAGGGACGAAAAAAAUGACGGUACCUGCAGAGGAAGCAUCGGCUAACUACGUGCCAGCAGCCGCGGUAAGACGUAGGAUGCGAGCGUUGUCCGGAUUUAUUGGGCGUAAAGAGUUCGUAGGCGGUUCGUUAAGUCUGGUGUUAAAGAUCAGGGCUCAACCCUGGGAGUGCAUUGGAUACUGGCGGACUGGAGUGCAGUAGAGGCGAGUGGAAUUCCCAGUGUAGCGGUGAAAUGCGUAGAUAUUGGGAAGAACACCGGUGGCGUAAGCGACUCGCUGGGCUGUAACUGACGCUGAGGAACGAAAGCUAGGGGAGCAAAUGGGAUUAGAUACCCCCGUAGUCC
rnacentral:rRNA from 1 species